rnacentral:rRNA from 1 species
CAGGCCUAACACAUGCAAGUCGAGCGGAAACGAUCCUAGCUUGCUAGGAGGCGUCGAGCGGCGGACGGGUGAGUACUGCAUAGGAAUCUGCCCGGUAGUGGGGGAUAACCUGGGGAAACUCAGGCUAAUACCGCAUACGUCCUACGGGGGAAAGGGGGCCUUGGCUCCCGCUAUCGGAUGAGCCUAUGCCGGAUUAGCUGGUUGGUGAGGUAAUGGCUCACCAAGGCGAUGAUCCGUAGCUGGUCUGAGAGGAUGAUCAGCCACAUCGGGACUGAGACACGGCCCGAACUCCUACGGGAGGCAGCAGUGGGGAAUAUUGGACAAUGGGGGCAACCCUGAUCCAGCCAUGCCGCGUGUGUGAAGAAGGCCCUCGGGUUGUAAAGCACUUUCAGUGAGGAAGAACGCCUGGCGGUUAAUACCCGCCAGGAAAGACAUCACUCACAGAAGAAGCACCGGCUAACUCCGUGCCAGCAGCCGCGGUAAUACGGAGGGUGCAAGCGUUAAUCGGAAUUACUGGGCGUAAAGCGCGCGUAGGUGGCUUGAUAAGCCGGUUGUGAAAGCCCCGGGCUCAACCUGGGAACGGCAUCCGGAACUGCCAGGCUAGAGUGCAGGAGAGGAAGGUAGAAUUCCCGGUGUAGCGGUGAAAUGCGUAGAGAUCGGGAGGAAUACCAGUGGCGAAGGCGGCCUUCUGGACUGACACUGACACUGAGGUGCGAAAGCGUGGGUAGCAAACAGGAUUAGAUACCCUGGUAGUCCACGCCGUAAACGAUGUCGACUAGCCGUUGGGCUCCUUGAGAGCCUUGUGGCGGAGUUAACGCAUUAAGUCGACCGCCUGGGGAGUCGGCCGCAAGGUUAAAAC